UGUCAGCGCGGAAUGUUUACAAUCUUUACAACUCACUAAAUUGUUCAAUUGGAGUUUGCCACUAUAAUUGUAUCUCUUGUGAGAAAUUUCCGUGGUACCAAGCUCAGCAAAAUUCUGUGGUUCAUUGAACGGAGUCUAUUAUGGUUUUACCUGGCAAGGUAUCCCUGUAAAUAAUUCGACCGACAGACUUCGGUUUCACCUUCUACGGUGCAAUUAGGUCAUUUGCACCCAUUAAUAUCCGGAUUUAUCAAUGGAUUUCUGCUGCGCUAACCAACUUACAAUACUCGCACCAUGGCUACGCGAGCUAGUUUCAAUACUGGUGUUGAUCUCACAGGGGAUGCAUACUGUAACCAGCUAUCAUCCGCUGCUGUGACGAUCCAACUAAUAUUCGAGAAAAAACCGUCGCCCAUUGUGAAAAGCUAGCUACUCGAUUUCUAAACGCUUGUUAAUAUCAUUCGUGAAAUUAACUGAUAUUGCUCGGGUCUAUCGCAAUUUAUCGUUUGCAGGUUGUUACUGAUCGCUAAAUCUUUUGUCUGAUGUUAUAAAUCGACGCAUUGAUGGUUCAAAUUAUCUUUUGCAUGAAAGCAAUUCAAUUGGCGUACCAAACUCCGCUUCUUUGCGUGUUGGUCCAAUACACAACGGUGGCUAUCUGGGAGAUAAAAAAAAGUUACGUCGAACUACCAUCAACCCAGGCAACCGUGUUUGAGACCGUCCAGCAAUGCCGAAGCAGCUUUGAAACUACCUCACCGGACAAAGUUUUGUUUAUAUACAUAUAUACAAGAAUGAGUUAAUUUAACUAUAUACAAUUAAUUAAAGUACGUUAAUG